rnacentral:misc_RNA from 1 species
UUUCCGUAGGUGAACCUGCGGAAGGAUCAUUGUCGAAACCUGCCCAGCAGAACGACCCGCGAACUUGUAUAAACAACCGGGGGCGGGGGGCGUUCUCGCCCCGUGCCCCCGAACGGCGGGGAGACACUCGUGCCUUCUUGCCGAACAACGAACCCCGGCGCGGUCUGCGCCAAGGAACUUCAACUAAAGAGUGCCUCCGGUCGCCUCGGAAACGGCGUGCGUGCCGGGGGCGAAUCUUGAGCAAAACCAUAACGACGCUCGGCAACGGAUAUCUCGGCUCUC